rnacentral:rRNA from 1 species
AUGGCCGGAGCCGGGGAAGACGAAGCAGCUCCUCCUCCCCAUCCCCCUUCUCUAGAUCGACAGCAGCCCAUGGAAGAGGCGCUGGCGGCGGCCAAGAGGAGAAGGUCGGAGCACUACCACGGCGUCGCCGACGGGCCGUCCUUCCGCAUGGAGGACCUUCCGGCGGAGGUUCAGCCGGUUAUAAUCUCACUGCUGCCACUGAAAGAGGCCGUGAGGACAAGCAUUGUUUCAAGAAGUUGGAGAAUGCUCUGGAGAUUCCACUGCGAUCUAUGUUUCAAUGAACGCGGUGAUGUGGAUUCUAACACCGAUGACAAUUCCGCUGAUCAGGUUAAUGGCACUGGCACCAAUGACCAAUCCACUAAUCAGUGUGGUACCAAAAUAACACGAGCAAAGUUCAUUGAGACUGUAAAUUCAGUUAUUCAACAGCAUAGUGGGGUAGGAAUCAAUAAGUUCAGCAUCAAGUGUGGCCUGCUCAUCGAGGACUCUGAACAUCUUGACAGGUGGAUUGAGUUUGCCGCUUCAUCAAAGGCAAAAACAAUAGAUUUUGAUUUGAAGAUAUUUGAUUACCCAGUUGAAGAAGUUCCCCAUUUUCCUCUUGAGGCCUUAGAUGCUCAAGGUAGCUCACUUGUGCAGUCCUUGUCUCUUGCCAGUGUUUCUAUAAAGCCAAGCUCAGGAAUAUGCCGCUUUACAAUACUCAGAAGGCUUGUUUUGAAAUCUGUUCAGAUAUUUGGAGAUUUUCCAGGCUUGCUUGCAAAUUGUUCAAGACUUGAGGACUUAGAGAUCAUCAGGUGUUCUGGUGUGGAUGACUUCAUCGUACCAAACAGACUCGAUAAACUUCAAAAUUUGCUGAUUGCUGGAACGGAUGUCCAGAUGGUUGUUAUUCAUGCAGCUGAUCUUGCUCAUUUUGAGUAUGAAGGACGACUGAUCCCUAUAGUGCUUCAUGGUUGCUCAAAAUUAGAGAAGGCAACAAUUGCGUUUGAUCCACUAAUCCUUAUGCACUGGCCCAUGCAUUCAAUAUAA